rnacentral:ncRNA from 1 species
CUCUAAUAUUACUUUCGAUGUUCAAAUUUAAGGAUUUGUUCCAAUAAGGUAUUAGAUAUUAAAGAGGUUUAUUCCUUCCGUAAAAGGUAAAAAUAGAUUAGAUUUUAGUAUUAACCUGGUAAGAUAUGAAAGG